UCUUUAAAGGUUUGGUCCCAGCCUUCUUAUUGUCUGGUAGUAAAAUUACACAUGCAAGUCUCCGCCCACCUGUGAGAAUACCCUUAAAACCAUUUAGGUUUAAAGGAGUUGGUAUCAAGCACACUCUUAACAAAAGAGUAGCUUAUAACACCUUGCCUAGCCACACCCCCACGGGAAACAGCAGUGAUAAAAAUUAGGCUAUAAACGAAAGUUUGACCUAGUUAUACUACAAUUAGGGUUGGUAAAUUUCGUGCCAGCCACCGCGGUCAUACGAUUAACCCAAGUUAAUAAGCACCGGCGUAAAGCGUGUUAAAGGAGAAAUUUUUUAAAUAAAGCUAAGACUUAACUAAGCUGUAGAAAGCAAUAGUUAAAAGAAAAUCAAAUUACUAAAGUAACUUUAUUAUAUCUUAUACACGAUAGCUAAGAACCAAACUGGGAUUAGAUACCCCACUAUGCUUAGCCCUAAACUAAAACAAUUUAAUAACAAAACUGUUCGCCAGAGUACUACUAGCAAUAGCUUAAAACUCAAAGGACUUGGCGGUGCUUUAUAUCCAUCUAGAGGAGCCUGUUCUAUAAUCGAUACACCCCGAUAAACCUCACCACUUCUUGCUAAUUCCGCCUAUAUACCGCCAUCUUCAGCAAACCCUUAAAAGGCAUAAUAGUAAGCCAAAGUAUUUUACAUAAAAACGUUAGGUCAAGGUGUAGCUUAUGAAGUGGGAAGAAAUGGGCUACAUUUUCUAAAUAUAGAAUAACCACUUAAACGAAAGUCUUUAUGAAAUUAAAGACUAAAGGAGGAUUUAGUAGUAAGUUAAGAAUAGAGUGCUUAACUGAAUAAGGCCAUGAAGCACGCACACACCGCCCGUCACCCUCUUCAAGUAUAAACGCUAAUAUACAUACAUAAUUUACAGCUAACCUAUAUUAGAAGAGAUAAGUCGUAACAAGGUAAGCAUACUGGAAAGUGUGCUUGGAUGAAU
rnacentral:ncRNA from 1 species